rnacentral:rRNA from 1 species
UACGUAGGGUGCAAGCGUUAAUCGGAAUUACUGGGCGUAAAGCGUGCGCAGGCGGUUAUGUAAGUCAGGUGUGAAAUCCCCGGGCUCAACCUGGGAACUGCAUUUGUGACUGCAUCGCUGGAGUGCGGCAGAGGGGGAUGGAAUUCCGCGUGUAGCAGUGAAAUGCGUAGAUAUGCGGAGGAACACCGAUGGCGAAGGCAAUCCCCUGGGCCUGCACUGACGCUCAUGCACGAAAGCGUGGGGAGCAAACAGG